UAAAUAAGAAGUAAAAUUUUACAUAUUAAUUUCGACUUAAUAAUAGAUUAUUAAUAAUCCUUAUUUAU
rnacentral:tRNA from 1 species